CGGGAACUGUGAGACAGGUGCUGCAUGGCUGUCGUCAGCUCGUGUUGUGAAAUGUUGGGUUAAGUCCCGCAACGAGCGCAACCCUUAUCCUUUGUUGCCAGCGGUCCGGCCGGGAACUCAAAGGAGACUGCCAGUGAUAAACUGGAGGAAGGUGGGGAUGACGUCAAGUCAUCAUGGCCCUUACGACCAGGGCUACACACGUGCUACAAU
rnacentral:rRNA from 1 species